GCGCCCUUAGUGUAGUGGAUAUCACAUAAGAUUCCGGUUCUUAAGACAGGGGUUCGAUUCCCUUAGGGCGUG
rfam:Enterococcus sp. 6C8_DIV0013 scaffold00001, whole genome shotgun sequence.